rnacentral:rRNA from 1 species
CUGGUUGAUCCUGCCAGUAGUCAUAUGAUUGUCUCAAAGAUUAAGCCAUGCAUGUCUAAGUAUGAACUAAUUCAGACUGUGAAACUGCGGGUGGCUCAUUAAAUCAGUUAUAGUUUUUUUGAUGGUACCAUACUACUCGGAUAAUCGUAUUAAUUCUAGAACUAAUACGUGCACCAAGUCCUGACUUUUUGGAAGGGAUGCAUUUUUUAGAUAAAAGGCUGGCGCGGGCUUGCCCGCUUCUCCGAUGAAUCAAGAUAACUCGAUGGAUCGCACAGCCCUUGUGCUGGCGAUGCUUCAUUCAAAUUUCUUCCCUAUCAACUUUCGAUGGUAGGAUAGAGGCCUACCAUGGUGGUGACAGGUGACGGAGAAUUAGGGUUCAAUUUCAGAGAGGGAGCCUGAGAAAUGGCUACCACAUCCAAGGAAGGCAGCAGGCGCGCAAAUUACCCUAUCCUGACACGGGGAGGUAGUGACAAUAAAUAACAAUACUGGGCUCAUCGAGUCUGGUAAUUGGAAUGAGUACAAUCUAAAUCCCUUAACGAGAAUCCAUUGGAGGGCAAGUCUGGU